UCUAGGAGCACAGUAAGGCGCUGAGUGUGUCCGCACUGGAUGAUAGUCACCACCACCGCUCGAAGCAAAAGGUUUUAACCCUUUUUAACGUUCCGUUUCAGUUGAUAUGUUUUUUUGCUUAGACUCUUGGUUGAUUAUGGAUUCACUCGUUGGACAGGAAGAGAAAAGCACAGCAGCUUUGAAGUCCCAGAUUGAAAAGCUACAGCAGGAGAGAAAUGAAUUUCAAAGGAUGGUGAUCGGUAACCAGGUGGAUGCAAAUGAAGCGAAAAACUAAGAAAUAGUGGCUGAGAACACUAGCCUAAGAGCAUCACUUCGAUUCAUGCAGAUAUGCGUGAUUUUUUUUUAAAUGCUCCAAACGGUUCAGCUAAUCCUUCAUUGGCUGGCAAUGAGAAACGUGAGGCUGAUCCUUCACAAUAUCCACUGGGUGAAAAGACGGAUGUCUUUGAUCUACCUUUCCGGAUGGCUAGAGGUCAAAUAGUAGAGAGUUUGCGCGCUAAGAUGGCUUUCAUAAAGGGAACACAUGGUUCAGUUACAAGAUGUACCUAAAGGAAUAUCUGUCAUUUCUGAAGCCACAGAGAGAGAGAGAGAGAGCUCGAACGUGAAGCUCAGCUUGUCGAGGCAAGAAACAUAAUCCAAGAUCAUGUCCUUUUUACAAUAUAAAGAAAAAAUCUUAAUUAGUGAUUUAUGCUUUAUUUAAAUCAGCCAUCUAUUUUCGUUUUCCUAUAAUUAAGUGACAAGAGAUGUGUUAUUGCAGGAGUCCAUAAUGUAUACACGUCUCCCCAAAUCAAAGCAGCUAAAGUUAUUGUGUCUGAAAAUAGGAGAUAACUAUGGCUUAAACAAAGAUGAUAAGUGAGAAACAAAUAACAAUUGUCAAACUUGUUGCAGAAAAUCCUUUCUUCUUUUUGAUCUAUUUAUAUAAUGAAUCUACAGGUGGAGUAUGAAAAUGUUGUAACUCAAAACCGAUGGAUCCAAGUGAAGGAACUUUGCUGAAGAGAUUGUCACUACAUGUGUAUUUUAUUCACCGUCAACAAACCUCUUCUUGGAUAUCUAGAUAUGUAUAUUCAGCUUUUAGUUGUGUCAGUAAUAGGGAUCAUUUAUCCUUUUGGAUAUCAAAUCUUAUUAUCAUCAUAUUGUAUGGUCCACUCUAGUAAUUUGUACAAAUGAAUAAAGCUCUAGGAGGAUUCGUAGAAA